AUAAAUCAAGGGCAAACCCAUCGAAAGGUGGGGACGCAAAGCCGUAGGAUCUAAGACGUAUGAUACGUUAUGAUAGCCUGGUUGCCGAG
rnacentral:ncRNA from 2 species